CCUACGGGUGGCAGCAGUGGGGAAUAUUGCACAAUGGGGGAAACCCUGAUGCAGCGACGCCGCGUGAGUGAUGAAGUAUCUCGGUAUGUAAAGCUCUAUCAGCAGGGAAGAAAAUGACGGUACCUGACUAAGAAGCCCCGGCUAACUACGUGCCAGCAGCCGCGGUAAUACGUAGGGGGCAAGCGUUAUCCGGAUUUACUGGGUGUAAAGGGAGCGUAGACGGCUGUGCAAGCCAGAUGUGAAAGCCCGGGGCCCAACCCCGGGACUGCACUUGGAACUGUGUGGCUGGAGUGCCGGAGAGGCAGGCGGAAUUCCUAGUGUAGCGGUGAAAUGCGUAGAUAUUAGGAGGAACACCAGUGGCGAAGGCGGCCUGCUGGACGAUGACUGACGUUGAGGCUCGAAAGCGUGGGGAGCAAACAGGAUUAGAUACCCGAGUAGUC
rnacentral:rRNA from 1 species